rnacentral:misc_RNA from 1 species
UCUCCGUUGGUGAACCAGCGGAGGGAUCAUUAUAGAGUUUUCUAAACUCCCAACCCUUUGUGAACUUACCUUUGUUGCCUCGGCGGGGCCUACCCGGUACCGACCCUGUAACGGGUUACCCGGGAGCGGCCCCACCGGUGGACUUUUUAACUCUUGUUAUUUUAUGUAAUCUGAGAGUCUUAUUUUAAAUAAGUCAAAACUUUCAACAACGGAUCUCUUGGUUCUGGCAUCGAUGAAGAACGCAGC